ACCUGAGCGGGAAAGAGCCACCUGAGCAGCGCGCGGCUCCCACGGCGGAGACUGUUUCUACUCUCUCACCUUGAGGUGUCGGCGCAUUCUCCCCCUGCUCUCUAUCUCAUCUCCAGCUGUUCUCCGCCCUGCCCUUCCAAGUGCCGUUCCCGGGAGCUGUCUCUUACUAAACCACACCUUGACCUCACCUUCCUAGGUUCCUGCCACCGGGCAGUAAUAACUGAAAUCUACCUUGAAGUUUAUGGCGUAAGUUUUCUUUACAUCUGGAUUCCCAAUGCCGAGGGAGCCUAGACCUACUGAAAGAAAUUCUGCUGGCCAGACUAGAUUGGCAGCUUUCCCGUCUGACUUCAGGUUGUCUAUUUUCAGUUCGUCUUUAGCUUGACCUACCAAAAAAAAAAAAUUUUUAAGUGACUUUCUCUCGCUGCUCUUUUUGAGAAGCCUCACCUCUCUCAUUCUGAGAAGAUACGGAGUACACCAAUCACAAUACAAUUUUCUUCUAGCGUAAUGGCUGUUCAUUCAUUAGUUAAUUGUAAGAUAUUAUCUUUUUUUCCUUUUUUGAAACCUAAUGACUUUACUACGUCAGCACUUGAAAGUGAAAGAGCUUGUCUGCUUCAUUCUAAGACUCUCAGAGACAUAACACAUGAUCCUAUUUAUUUCCUUCUUAGCACCUUUCCAACCAAUAGUUAUUUAUCAGUUAUUAAUAAAUAUUUGUUUACUUUCAAAAUUA
rnacentral:lncRNA from 1 species